AGAGUUUGAUCAUGGCUCAGAACGUACGCUGGCGGCACGCCUAACACAUGCAAGUCGAACGAAGUAGCAAUACUUAGUGGCAGACGGGUGAGUAACAUGUAGGUAUCUGCCCUUUGGCCUGGAAUAACACGAGGAAACUUGUGCUAAUACUGGAUAAGUCUUUACGGAGAAAGCUUUAUGCACCAUUGGAUGAGCCUGCACUUGAUUAGUUUGUUGGUAGGGUAAUGGCCUACCAAGACUUUGAUCAAUAGCUGAUUUGAGAGGAUGAUCAGCCACAUUGGGACUGAGACACGGCCCAGACUCCUACGGGAGGCAGCAGUGGGGAAUCUUGCACAAUGGAGGAAACUCUGAUGCAGCGAUGCCGCGUGAGUGAAGAAGGCCUUUGGGUUGUAAAGCUCUUUCGUCGGGGAAGAAAAUGACUGUACCCGAAUAAGAAGGUCCGGCUAACUUCGUGCCAGCAGCCGCGGUAAUACGAAGGGACCUAGCGUAGUUCGGAAUUACUGGGCUUAAAGAGUUCGUAGGUGGUUGAAAAAGUUGGUGGUGAAAUCCCAGAGCUUAACUCUGGAACUGCCAUCAAAACUUUUCAGCUAGAGUUUGAUAGAGGAAAGCAGAAUUUCUAGUGUAGAGGUGAAAUUCGUAGAUAUUAGAAAGAAUACCAAAUGCGAAGGCAGCUUUCUGGAUCAUUACUGACACUGAGGAACGAAAGCAUGGGUAGCGAAGAGGAUUAGAUACCCUCGUAGUCCAUGCCGUAAACGAUGUGUGUUAGACGUUGGAAAUUUAUUUUCAGUGUCGCAGCGAAAGCAAUAAACACACCGCCUGGGGAGUACGACCGCAAGGUUAAAACUCAAAUGAAUUGACGGGGACCCGCACAAGUAGUGGAGCAUGUGGUUUAAUUCGAAGAUACGCGCAGAACCUUACCAACACUUGACAUGUUCGUCGCGACUUUAAGAGAUUAAAGUUUUCGGUUCGGCCGGACGAAACACAGGUGCUGCAUGGCUGUCGUCAGCUCGUGUCGUGAGAUGUUGGGUUAAGUCCCGCAACGAGCGCAACCCUCACUUUUAGUUGCCAUCAUUUAGUUGGGCACUCUGAAAGAACUGCCAGUGAUAAGCUGGAGGAAGGUGGGGAUGACGUCAAGUCCUCAUGGCCCUUACGUGUUGGGCUACACACGUGCUACAAUGAUAUUUACAACAGGAAGCAAAACGGCGACGUUAAGCAAAUCCUCAAAAAAUAUCUCAGUUCGGAUUGCACUCUGCAACUCGAGUGCAUGAAGCUGGAAUUACUAGUAAUCGUGGAUCAGCGUGCCACGGUGAAUGCGUUCCCGGGUCUUGUACACACCGCCCGUCACACCAUGGGAGUUGGUUCUACCUUAAGGCAAGGUUUAAAAUCCUUGACCACGGUAUAGUCAGCGACUGGGGUGAAGUCGUAACAAGGUAACCGUA
rnacentral:rRNA from 1 species